rnacentral:rRNA from 1 species
AUACGUAUGUCGCAAGCGUUAUCCGGAUUUAUUGGGCGUAAAGCGCGUCUAGGCGGCUUAGUAAGUCUGAUGUGAAAAUGCGGGGCUCAACCCCGUAUUGCGUUGGAAACUGCUAAACUAGAGUACUGGAGAGGUAGGCGGAACUACAAGUGUAGCGGUGAAAUUCGUAGAUAUUUGUAGGAAUGCCGAUGGGGAAGCCAGCCUACUGGACAGAUACUGACGCUAAAGCGCGAAAGCGUGGGUAGCAAACAGGAUUAGAUACCCUGGUAGUCCACGCCGUAAACGAUGAUUACUAGGUGUUGGGGGUCGAACCUCAGCGCCCAAGCUAACGCGAUAAGUAAUCCGCCUGGGGAGUACGUACGCAAGUAUGAAACUCAAAUGAAUUGACGGGG